GACGAACGCUGGCGGCGUGCUUAACACAUGUGAGUCGAACGGAAAGGCCCUGCUUUUGUGGGGUGCUCGAGUGGCGAACGGGUGAGUAACACGUGAGUAACCUGCCCUUGACUUUGGGAUAACUUCAGGAAACUGGGGCUAAUACCGGAUAGGAGCUCCUGCUGCAUGGUGGGGGUUGGAAAGUUUCGGCGGUUGGGGAUGGACUCGCGGCUUAUCAGCUUGUUGGUGGGGUAGUGGCUUACCAAGGCUUUGACGGGUAGCCGGCCUGAGAGGGUGACCGGCCACAUUGGGGCUGAGGUACGGCCCAGAAUCCUUCGGGGGGCAACAGGGGGGAAUAAUGCACAAUGGGCGGAAGGCUGAUGCAGCCACGCCGGGGGCGGGAUGACGGCCUUCGGGUUGUAAACCGCUUUCGCCUGUGACGAAGCGUGAGUGACGGUAAUGGGUAAAGAAGCACCGGCUAACUACGUG
rnacentral:rRNA from 1 species